rnacentral:rRNA from 1 species
UCUAUAUCUGAAGUCAAGUGAGAUUACCCGCUGGACUUAAGCAUAUCAUUAAGCGGAGGAAAAGAAAAUAACUAUGAUUACCCUAGUAGCGGCGAGCGAAGCGGUAAAAGCCCAAAAUGGAAAUCUUCUCCCUCAAGGAGUAGAAUUGUAAUCUAUAGACCAUCGCCAAUCCGAGAUCGAAGUUUAAGUGCCUUGGAACAGGCCGCCAUAGAAGGUGAAAGCCCUGUGUAGCUUUGAUCAGAGAGUAGGUGUAAGUCGAAGAGUCGAGUUGCCUGAGAUCGCAGCUCAAAGUGGGAGAUAAACUUCUUCUAAGGCUAAAUAGCUAUGGGAGACCGAUAGCGAACAAGUACUGUGAAGGAAAGAUGAAAAGAACUUUGGAAAGAGAGUUAACAGACCUGAAACUGUUGAGAAGGAAGCGGUAGAAAUUAAUUAUUCGGUUGUGAUCUGACUGACGGAAAUAAAGUUGUAAGUGUAGGUCACUGUUAAAAGGGCCUUGCGGACCAAUGUAAUUCCUAGGGCGAUCUAGAUUGAUAGACAAGAUGGGCUCAGUCGUUUCAAAUCCUACUUAUGGCUCGGGAUCCUGUGGUCCCACUGUGAGCAAGGCUGUAACGACCGUAGUCGAGGGGCUUCGGCGAUCUUGUCAAAAUGAUUUUUACUGUCCCGUCUUGAAACACGGACCAAGGAGUCUAACACAUAUGCGAGUGUGCUGGCGGAAAAACCAACACGCGUAAUGAAAGUAACAGGUGCCAAGCGCAAGCAGCAGCAUCGGCCGACCAUGAUCAUUAGAGAAAGGUUUGAGUAUGAGCAUAUUUGUUAGGACCCGAAAGAUGGUGAACUAUGCUUGAGUAGGGUGAAGUCAGGGGAAACUCUGAUGGAGGCUCGUAGCGAUACUGACGUGCAAAUCGUUCGUCAAACUUGAGUAUAGGGGCGAAAGACUAAUCGAACCAUCUAGUAGCUGGUUCCCUCUGAAGUUUCUCUCAGGAUAGCUAGAGCAAUCAUGCAGUUUUGCUAGGUAAAGCUAAUGAUUAGAGGUUACGGGGGUCCAGUGCCCUCGGCCUAUUCUCAAACUUUAAAUUGGUAAGAACCUGAGGUUUUCUUAAUUGAACCGAGGGGUAGAAUGCAUGCUCUAAGUGGGCCAUUUUUGGUAAGCAGAACUGGCGAUGAGGGAUGAACCUAACGUCGAGAUAAGGUGCCCAAAUUCACGCUCAUCAGACACCAUAAAAGGUGUUGGUUAGUAUAAACAGCCGGACUGUGGCCAUGGAAGUCGGCAUCAGCUAAGGAGUGUGUAACAACUCACCAGCCGAAUUAACCAGCCCUGAAAAUUGAUGGCGCUAAGCGUGAUACCGAUACUCAACCAUUAAGGCAAAUAGAAGCUUUAAUGAGUAAGAGGGCGUGAAUACUGUGUCGAAGGCUUGGAUGUGAAUCUGGCUGGAACAGUAUUUAGUGCAGAUCUUGGUGGUAGUAGCAAAUAUUCAAAUGAGAACUUUGAAGACCGAAGUGGAGAAGGGUUCCAUGAGAACAGCAUUUGUUCAUGGGUUACUCGAUCCUAAGACAUAGGGAAAUUCCUUGUAAUAUAUGUGUUCUUACGAAUGCAUUGUCAAAAGGGAAUGAGGUUGAUAUUCCUCAAGCUGGAUGUGGUGGCUACGUGGUAACACGAACAAGCUCGGAAAUGCCGGUAUGUGCAACUGGAAGAGUUCUCUUUUCUUCUUAACAAUCUAUCUCCCUGAAUGGAUUAUCCAAAGCAAGGGAUAUAUGGUUGGCAGAGCAGUUCACCAUCGAAUUGUCAGUGAUGCUCAUAACGGCCCUUGAAAAUCUGAGUAAGGUUAUCCAAUCACACCAGGUCGUACCCAUAACCGCAUCAGGUCUCCAAGGUUAGCAGCCUCUGGUCGAUAGAAUAAUGUAGAUAAGGGAAUUCGGCAAAUUAGAUCCGUAACUUCGGGAAAAGGAUUGGCUCUGAGGAUUGGGUUAUAGUUGCUGUCAUUGAGAGGGGAACUAUGAAAGAGCUGCGCAAGUGGAUCUGGAUUGGUGAACCAGGAAAUGCCGGUUUACUUACACCAGCAACAAUCGACUCAGAACUGAAGCGGACAAGGGGAAUCCGACUGUUUAAUAAAAACAUAGCUUUGUGAUGGCCUGAAAAGGUGUUGACACAAAGUGAUUUCUGCCCAGUGCUUUGAAUGUGAAUAUGAAGUAAUUUGUAGAAGCUCAGGUAAACGGCGGGAGUAACUAUGACUCUCUUAAGGUAGCCAAAUGCCUCGUCAUCUAAUUAGUGACGCGCAUGAAUGGAUCAAUGAGAUUCCCACUGUCCCUAUCUACUAUCUAGCGAACCCACAGCCAAGGGAACGGGCUUGGAAUAAUCAGCGGGGAAAGAAGACCCUGUUGAGCUUGACUCUAGUCCGACUUUGUGAAAUGACUUUCGAGAUAUAGCCUAAGUGGGAGCUAACGCGCCGCUGUAAAACCACUGCUCGCUUAGCCAUUUUACUUACUCCGUGAAGAAGUGGCCAAUUUAUUGGUUCUUAGAUUUAAGCACUUAUUUUAUAGGUGUGAAUUUUGCGGAGGACAAGGUCAGGUGGGGAGUUUGACUGGGGCGGUACAUCUGUUAAACAAUAACGCAGGUGUCCUACGGUGAGCUCAAAGAGAACAGAAAUCUCUUGUAGACCAAAAGGGGAAAAGCUCACUUGAUUUUGAUUUUCAGUACUAAUACAAACCGCGAAAGCGUGGCCUAUCGAUCCUUUAACUUUACAAGUUUUAAGCUAGAGGUGUCAGAAAAGUUACCACAGGGAUAACUGGCUUGUGGCAGCCAAGCGUUCAUAGCGACGUUGCUUUUUGAUCCUUCGAUGUCGGCUCUUCCUAUCAUUGUGAAGCAGCAUUCACCAUGUGUCGGAUUGUUCACCCGUUUAUAGGGAACGUGAGCUGGGUUUAGACCGUCGCGAGACAGGUUAGUUUUACCCUACUGAUGAAGCGGUGCCACGACAGUAAUCCAACUUAGUACGAGAGGAACAGUUGGUUCAGAUAAUUGGUAAAUACAGUUGCCUGAACAUUGGCAGUGCUGUGAAGCUACCAUCUGUAGGAUUAUGACUGAACGCCUCUAAGUCAGAAUCCGUGCUGAAAAGUGGCGCCUUGAUGAUGAUAAAUGAAAACCAAUAGGCUACGGCCCAAAUUCAUACUAUCCGAUUUAAGCUCUAAUCCAGAAUGUGUUUAGACUUUUUCGGGAAUCGUAAUUUCAAAUAUCAUUGUUGCAAAUCGUUUGUAGACGACUUAACUGAGGAGCGGGUACUGUACGUUUGCGAGUAGACUUGUGCUACGAGCUACUGAGGUUCAUCCCGUUUUCUAAGAUUUGUUUUCAUCCCCCUUU